UAAGCUUGUCACACAGAAAACACUUUCCCUCUCUCUGUUCACAGACACACACCUAUCAGUCUUUACCCAUACUGUUCUCUCUCACCUGCUCUCAAUCUACUGUGUGGAAUUCUCUACAGUUUGGGAGACCGUCUGUGGAUACAGUAUCCAGUGAAAGGAGCCAGUGGAGGAGUCACAGGAACCAGAUUACAACCACCGACUAUGUCAAAAGAAGUGGACAGAGCGUCAGUGUUCAGGGCCACUAAGGUUCGGACCAAGCUGAAGGGAGAUGCCAGCUGGAUGCAGAGAUGCAGUGAACCCCAGUCUGAAGCAGAGGAGGAGAAA